ACACUUAAAAUUUGUAUAUGUGGCUAAAAGUCUCCCAUGGUCCUCAGUUUCUUCUUUUUGUUGAUCUUCGUUCUUCCACUUCCUUAUGUAUCCUAAUUUCUAAGCUUUUCUAAAGCACACAAACAGAUCUAGGGCGUGAAUUGGUUUGGCGAUGUCUCCACAACCGCUGGUGGUGCCUAUGGUGGUGGAUAACACAUGUUUAAAUCAGAAACUAAAUCAAGUUAUCUAGGGUUUCUUUCUUCUAUGUACUUGUAACCACCGCAAAAGGUUCUAAUAUCUUAUCAGAACCGGCGAACAAGUAAGCUGUUACAGAAAUACAAUCUUAUUUUACAAUAUCAAUCGUUCUCAUGAUCUACUCUGCUUCCUGCAUCUAUUCGCUGACUAGAAGGCGUUUUUGAAGCAACCGAAAGUCUUCAUCUGUUCGAAGAAGAGAGGCAAAGGAAAAAGGUCUGGAAAGGGGGGAAAUAGUUUUGGAAGAGUAUUGGUAUUGGAUUUAACCUGAGAGAGGCUAUUAAAGUUUCAACGACUCAGACCAAAGCAACGUACACCUGCUGCUACCAGUGAUGUUCCUUCCACCGUUUUCUCUGCCCCAUCUCGUAGAACUCUAAGGGGAAAGCUUCUCUUCAACCCAAAAGAACUCAAAUCACGAGGAGAUUAAUGCUAUUGUGUGUGUGGCGAGGAUUAAGACUGCGGAACAUUUGUUUUUGACGUGUGGUUUCGCUCAAACGGUAUGGCAUUUAGUAUCACAAUGGUGCAAGCUCCCUCCAAUUUAUGCGUUCCAGGUAAGAGAUCUUCUUGAUUUGCAUCUGUACAUAGACGGGUCGGCGAAGUCUAAAAAGGUUAUUCAAGCUAUUUGCCACAUGGUUUUCUGGUGCAUUUGGAGGUGUCAAAAUGAAGUGGUUUUAAAUCAAGGGCAAACCUCGAUGCAGAAGAUUAUGGGAGAUGUAAAGGGGCUGUCAUUUUUGUGGAUUAAAGCGCAUCCCAAACAGUUGAACUAUUAAACUUUCUUUGCUAUCAUGUUAACUAACCUCCUUUGACUGUGGAUGAUGGUAAUCAUCUUUAUUUUAUGUUUAGACUUUUGACAUUAGUUUUUUAUGAAUGGCUAAAGGUUAUCAA